rnacentral:rRNA from 1 species
AAGUCCCGUAACGAGCGCAACCCUCGCCCUUAGUUGCCAUCAUUUAGUUGGGCACUCUAAGGGGACUGCCGGUGAUAAGCCGCGAGGAAGGUGGGGAUGACGUCAAGUCCUCAUGGCCCUUACGGGCUGGGCUACACACGUGCUACAAUGGCGGUGACAGUGGGACGCAAUGGAGCAAUCCUGCGCAAAUCUCAAAAAGCCGUCUCAGUUCGGAUUGGGGUCUGCAACUCGACCCCAUGAAGUCGGAAUCGCUAGUAAUCGCAGAUCAGCACGCUGCGGUGAAUACGUUCCCGGGUCUUGUACACACCGCCCGU